CAUUGCAAUAACAUCCUUCCUAUCAGUGAAACAUGGAUCUGUUCAGCUUAAAAUCACUUGUGUUUUCCCUCUGUUUUAUAGAAGGUCUCAUGGUGAAUGAACGCUACAAAGGUAGAGCUUCGAUUGAUUCAGCCAACGGCCACCUGACUCUGACCUCCGCACAACUGAAUGACAGCGGAAAUUAUACUGUCUUAGUAUUGGGGAAAAAUACUACUGAAAUUGGAAUAGUUAAACUCCAUGUUGUGGAUAUUUUACAUCCCAACCUGACUUUGCUGGCCCCCUCCAGUGAGGAGCUGCAGCAGAAGAAGUUAACCCUCACAUGUCUGGGAAACAAGGGCUUCCCCUCUGACUGGCAAUUGCGGUGGCACGUCAAUGGCAGCAGCCAAGUCCACUGGAAAGAGGAAUGGGGCCCUGUGAGGCGUCUGGAUGACGACCACUACACCUGGAGCAGCUUCUUGACUGUUGAUGAGGAGAACUGGAAGAAGAUAUCGUCUGUGACCUGCAGGGCGAUUCUGGGCUCACUGGCUCCAGUCUCAGUCACUCUGAAAAUCAACUAGAGUUUGGAGGCCCAGCCUGACUCACUGGAUUGAUUUUUAUACUUCAACUGGUUUCACUCUGCAGGGCAUUUUCAAGAACCAAUUAUUCUCUUCCUUUGCUCUGUUCUGUCUUCUUUAUAAUAUUGAACGGAAUAUAUCAUAAUUCAUGAUCACAGUUAGAGGAUGAAUGUGUUUAUAUGUAGAAGCCUGUUGAAAAGCUCUAAAACUUUAACUUUGGAUUAUUAUUUUAAAACCCUGAAACGUCUGAAAAAAGAUCACAUUUUCAAUUUGUUUUAAGGUGAAGAGCUUUCUUCAGUACUAAAACACAUUAACAUUUAAAUACUUAGUCUUUUUUUUUUUUUUUUUUAAUUUUCCACAGAUUAAAGUGUAAUGUACGUAAUAUUUAUGGAUUCAGUAAAUCAUCUGAUGAGUUUGAAGCUAAAAUAAAAAUCUUUCCACAAAAAGCUUAAAGACAGAGGACAAAUUCAGGUGAGUAUGUACUUUCUUUUAGUAAUUUUCUGAUGUAUGCUAACACAUCAUAAAUAGUAUUUUCUUUGAAUUUCAUAUUUUGAAGCCAGGCUAAAAAUGACUUUUGCUUGAUAUUAUUUGUAGUCCAGAGAAACAGUAAUACAAAUUUAAGAGUCACAGAACACUAAGCAGGCAAAUAUUUCUUGCUUUAAAGUAUUUUUUCUCAUUUUGUCUUGACAACUGUCCUUCAAAUUAAUGUCUAACAUGCUUAAUAUGAAAGUUCAGUAGAUUAUCUUCAGAGUUGUGUAGAAAAUGUGGCAAAUAUUUAUGAGUUUGAAGUCAGACAUUUUCAGCUUGGAGACAUUUCUUGAAAAAUAAAAUGAAUUUAAAUAAUUCCAAUAUUUUUGUAAAAUACAAGACCCUUUGCUUACCAUUAUGAUCACAGUGUUUAAAGUUGUUUAUAAAUACCAUUCAAAAGUGUAUGUAUCAGAUUAGACCUGUUGAUUCUUUGGAGAGUUUUACGUCUUCUUCCAUUUUGCCUCAGACAAUUAAACUGCUCUGUAAACUUUA